rnacentral:rRNA from 1 species
UCUACGGGAGGCUGCAGUGAGGAAUAUUGGUCAAUGGGCGCGAGCCUGAACCAGCCAAGUCGCGUGAGGGAUGAAGGUUCUAUGGAUCGUAAACCUCUUUUAUAAGGGAAUAAAGUGUGGGACGUGUCCUAUUUUGUAUGUACCUUAUGAAUAAGGAUCGGCUAACUCCGUGCCAGCAGCCGCGGUAAUACGGAGGAUGCGAGCGUUAUCCGGAUUUAUUGGGUUUAAAGGGUUCGCAGGCGGAGGCACAAGUCAGCGGUAAAAUCGCGGGGCUCAACCCCGCUGCGCCGUUGAAACUGGGGCCCGUGAGUGGGCGAAGGGUAGGCGGAAGGCGUGGUGUAGCGGUGGAAUGGAUAG